rnacentral:rRNA from 1 species
UACGAAGGGGGCUAGCGUUGCUCGGAAUCACUGGGCGUAAAGCGCACGUAGGCGGACUCUUAAGUCGGUGGUGAAAUCCUGGAGCUCAACUCCAGAACUGCCUUCGAUACUGAGAGUCUCGAGUCCGGGAGAGGUGAGUGGAACUGCGAGUGUAGAGGUGAAAUGCGCAGAUAUCAGGAGGAACACCAAUUGCGAAGGCAGCUCGCUGGGACGUUACUGACGCUGAGACGCGAAAGCGUGGGAGCAAACAGG